AACGAACGCUGGCGGCGGGGUUUAGGCAUGCAAGUCGCGGGAGAAAGUCCUUCGGGAUGAGUACACCGGCGAAAGGGUGAGUACAAGCUGGUUAACGUACCCUUAGGACCGGGAUAAUUGGCCGAAAGGCUUUGUAAAACCGGAUGAGACCACAGCGCCCUUGGGUGCAGGGGUCAAAGUGCGGGGACCCUUCGGGGCCCGCAGCCUGAGGAGCGGACCAGCCCCGAUUAGCUAGAUGGCGGGGUAACGGCCCACCAUGGCAAUGAUCGGUAGCCGGCCUGAGAGGGUGUCCGGCCACACUGGGACUGAGAUACUGCCCAGACUCCUACGGGAGGCUGCAGUCGCGAAUCAUUCACAAUGGACGCAAGUCUGAUGAUGCCACGCCGCGUGUAGGAAGAAGGCUUUCGGGUUGUAAACUACUGUCAGGAGGGGGGAAACGCAUACGGUGAAUAGUCGUAUGUUUGACUGCCCUCCAAAGGAAGCCCCGGCUAAACACGUGCCAGCAGCCGCGGUAAUACGUGUGGGGCAAGCGUUGUUCGGAAUUACUGGGCAUAAAGGGUGCGUAGG
rnacentral:rRNA from 1 species